UACUUUAUAACCAUAAAUUGAAGUAUUGC
rnacentral:sRNA from 1 species